AGAGGAGGAGGAUCGCGCUCCGGGGGAAGCACCCCCCGCCCGCCCCCUUCCCCGGGAGCGGGCAGGAGCGAGCGCUCCGCGCGCCUUUGAUGAGGAGGCGCGGGCAUCCUCCCCCCGCCCGGCUCCAUACAAAGGCCGCUUUCCAGGAACUUUCCAGGAACCGCAUCAUGUGACAGGACCCGCUCCGAGCCGCACCGCUCCCGGGCCGCGCCGCUCCGCCGCAUCGCCGCGCAACCCCCCUCUCCGCACGGGCCGCCGCUUCGCACCGCGCCGCACAGAUCGCGCGGAGACGCAAGGCCGCCGCCACCGCAGAACAUAAUCUUGAAUUUACAGAAGUCCAUGGCAAAAUCUGGUUGUGAAGGGGUCUGUUUUCUGCGAGACUAUUUGUGAAGACUCCUGGCUCUCUGCCUUUGUGUACAAGGCUGACACAUGGCCCAUGCAUCCUCACUGUGCCCAGCAGCAUGCCCACUCCUUCUAGUGCUCUAUUGCAGGGAUGCACGUAGCCCUCCAGUCGAUGGGCUGUAUCCCAUCACUGUGGCAAACCUGUGGAGCUGUGAUAGCUUAUAAAACUUGACAGCAUGGUCCAUUGCAUGUAUUUUUUCUAAAUCCAUAUUUUUCCAAUUUUUUUUCCUGUAGUGGCAAGUUUUUUUCUAUCCAUCUGGGAGCAGAAUCCUGUGCUCAGCGUAUGUAAAUAACAGCUGUUUCCACUCAAUUGCAUUUAUGUACUUAACACUUCAAAAUAGUUUUUUUUCUAGAAGUUUCACAAUCUAGUCACCAUCCAUGCUUAGACAGAGGUACUGGGGAGAGGUUAAUGAAACCCCUCUGGACUGGCUGACAAAAGUAUACAGCUGCAGCUCUGGAAUCCCCACACAGGACGGAUUGCUGAUGCUGACGGCCAUGCUCCGAUGCACUGUGGAGGCAACUUCAUUCCUGAGGCAGCCUCAGCUCUGGCUUCUGGGGCUGCUGCAGGGGUAGCAGGGUGCCAAGUGAGGAGAGGAGCUGUGCUGGUAGUGCCUUCCAGGCAAAGUUAAUUUGUCAUGUAGAGCAGCUGAACAGGGGAAAAAAUGGCAAGUAAUUUAGAGGGAAAAGCUUAUCUGCCAGUGUCGCAGAUUUUUAAAUGCAUUAACCUAUUGCAUCCUGAGAAGAAAGGGAGCUCUUUAAUGCUCUGAUAUAUCUUUUGUUGUAAUGUCACUAGCUCUGAAAUGAAAAUACAGCCUUUUUAUUUUAAAAUGCCUCAAUGAAGAUUUCAAGAAAUUAAUGUUCGAUUAUUAUUUUUGUCCAGAAGCCUCAUUAUUUUCCCAAAUGCCUCAACCUGAGCUAUUUCAUUAGACUUUUGGAUCCUCUGAAGGCUCAGGAUUACAGAACAUUGAUAUUUAGUUACCCUUCAUUCACUCCAUUUACUCUGAUGCAGACCGCUGAGAGCUGUGUGUUCCUAAAUCCGGGCUGUUUUUUAUGUUACUGUAUUUUUUAUUUUGCUUAUUCAGAAGAAAAAUACUUUGAUGUUUACUGCCGUCUCAACUGGAACACCUGUGAACAGGGCAGGACCAUGCUGAGGACUCAAGCUGUGCGGAGGGAGCAAUAACUGCAUGCGAGCUGUUGCUUUCACACAUCCUGACGUGCCUGUGCCAGUGUUUAUAAGAGGAGCAAAGAGGACUUGAGCUUGGGUUGUCUGUGAGAACAGCCACCUGCUCCCACAGGGCAUGUCUGUACUUCUGUAUAAGAGCAUUCCUGAUGUUACCGCCGUGCCAACGUGGCUCCUCCUGGGCUCCUCCUGCUUCCCCACUCCACAGCACUGCCUGCACUCUGGUGCUCUGUGGGUCCAAUGUGGAAUGAUGCCUUUUUGUGUUUCUUUCAGUUUAGAGUGCCUGAAAUGAGGUGAAACAGCUCUGCAGCCUCCGAGAACGGUGCUUCCCUAAUGUGAACAUGAGGUACACGUGUGUUUUGGGGCGUGGUAAUGUCUGAGGGUGAGCAGCCAUCUUGGGUUGCUCUGGGCAGAGGCACAAGAAGGCCUGGCCUCGGGAGCAGGCUCUUCACUGCUGGGGGGUCCAGCUGGGAGAGGCUGGGAGAGGGCUGAGGGGUAUAUGGUGAAGCAGUGUAGGUGCUUAGCAGCCCCAAGCUUGAGCUCGGUGCUCAGGCUCACGGGGACCAGCCUGACUGCCUGCUGCUGGGCCGAGCUGGCUGGGUGUGAGUGGCGCUCUGCAGGUGGUGUGCUUCACUCCUAAGGAAGCACAGGGCUUCUAAGGGGUCAUUUCCUCAAGUCACGGGUUAAAAUCCCAGCCAUGUUGAAGCAACACAGCCAGCAGCUCGAGGGCCAGGACCAGCCAAGCAGUGUUGGGGUGCUCACCACUGCCACCUGCCUCAGGGCUGCCCACACCCUCCCUCCUUCACAGGCGGUGCCCCAACCACUGUCACCGCGUCGCCUUUCAGCCACCAUUGGCCUCUUUGGGCUUCAUUUCAAGUCUUUUUUUUUUUUUUUUUAAUAAAACAAAUACAGCUGUAUAAAGUCAAUGAAUUUUAACCCGCAGGGCCAACACAACACACGUGGAGUGUUUGCUGCAGUAGAUUUGAACAUACAAAUACAUGCUCUAGGAAGAGAAGUGCUGGGCCAUUUUUCUUAUUCUCCCUGUAUGGCGAGCACUUUGCUUGCACUGUGUGUGCCUUUCCCCUUGAUCAGAAAUCCUUUUUCUUAACCAAUUUCUAAAAUCCAUGGAACUCGUUGCCACGGUCAGUUUCCCCAUCACUAAAUGCAAGAUUUUAACGGCAUAAAAAAUGGGAUGGGAGUAAGAUAGUUUUAUAAAGAUGUAAGGUAUUCAUAGAAAACAACAAGCAAAUCCUGACAUCAAAGUGGGGACAUGAUUUAGUGAUGAAAUACUGGUGGUAGCGGGAUGGUUGGACUGGAUGAUCUUGGAGGUCUUUUCCAACCUCGGUGAUUCUAUGAUUCUAAGUAAGGACUAAAAAAUAUAGAAUAACCAAAAAGUUGAGAGGGAAUAUGAACUUUUAUAUUACCAUAAACAAAUGUAAACAAGCAGACCUUUUUUUUUCCUGGAAUUACUGUAUUGACUGGAAGCCUCAGAGUGCCUUAAUGAAAGCAGAAGAGCAUGUCUGCAGCACAGCCAUUUUGUUAUUUGUUGUUUGUGUCUUGUGUAGCUACCUGGAGGUAACAGAGAAUCAUGGGCUCAUCAGAAGAGGGAGUAUAGAGAUGCAUAAAAUAAGCACCUCUUGUUUAUUCAGAAUAAAUAGAAUGAAAGAAAAAAAGAUUAACAGCUUCACUAUAACUUUUAGUAUUGGAGAGCUGAUGAAACAAAAGGAGGUGAGAGAUUAAAAUCCUAUACACGGUUAUUAAGCAUGUGCAUUACUGCAUGCAGAGAACAAAAACCAGGAAGUUAGAAAGCUGUUGCAGUGAAGGCAAAACACAUUGCUUCAUUUGCUUAGCAAGAGAAAACUGCUUAGUCUUUAAAAUAUUUUGCUGACUUUCUCAUCUCUUCAUUCAGGACUUCUGUAUAUGGACUACAUGCUACUAAAGCUUAGCAGGAACAGCAAAAAAGAAGUCUUCACCUUUAAGCAGAGUACUUCUGUAUUUCUGUCUCUGCUCUCAAACUGUUGCCCUACCCUCCCAACUCAACCAACCAAAAAAUAAUUUCCAAACACAAUAAAACUACCUUUAUUUGCUAUGAAAUAGAUAUCUAAAUCUCUACUAAGCUCCUCCUCCCUUCACAGAAGAGAGAAAAGCACCUCCAGAAAACAAUGUGUGGCUUAUUCCAACCUUUUAAUAGGAUUUACUGCCUUGUUGAGGUACUUUGUAUGCGUGCCUAUUGACUAUAAGGUGAGUCUAUGACAGGUAACUCAGAUUUACAUGUCUAAUUAGUAGUUGCCUCAGUGUUACGAAACAAAUCUAGCUCUUACAUAUUAUAGGUAUACAAUUAGUCUGAACUUCAUUCUUAUGAAAACUGGGCUCUGAGUCAAUUUAUUCUACAGUAGUAAUAAAGUGAGACACACAUCCUCCAUUACAGGAGAGGAAAGCAGCCUGCACAGCCUAUGUCUGCUUGUUCAUGUAAUUUUGUACUAUUUUUCACGAUGGAAUGAGCACAUGGGAAAUUGUAACAGUGCACCAUGAAAACUGGAAUAACUGAGGAAGCACUGAAGUCAAACAUAAAUUCCUAUUGUGAUACAUUAUAGAGCUGCAGCAGAGAUGUAGUGGAGGCACAGUAGAAUUUGAAGAUGUCAGGUGAAAUCCAGGCCCUCCCAACAGCCAGCUUUUCCAUGGGGCUGAAUAGGGGUAGGGGGAUGGGGUGGCUAACCACUCCCUCCAUUCUUGUCCCGAGGAGCUUGAGCACACAGACAUGAAACUCGUCAAAUGGGCCCAUUUGGCAGCGCUGUACUAUUGACUCAAUUUUUCAAAACCACAAGGGUUGGGUGUUUUUGUUGUUGUUGAAUAUGUAUGAAGAAAGAUGCAACUCUGAUACAUUAGAAAAGUCAAAUAGUUCAAAGCAAACAAGAAAGUGCUAGAAAAGAACCUUUGACCCUUUGAAUCCAAGCACUUUCAGACCUCCCAGGAAAUCUCUUAUUCGUCAGUACUUGCAAAUUUAAUUAAGUAACAGCUGGCGCGUGUCUCUCAUAGUGUUAAGUCCCACCGUCUACGGCUUCGAACAAAUCCAGGAGAGCCACUGUGCAAGGUUGCCUCCCGGUGGUGGUACCACGAACCUGCAGAAUGACACAAGCUGCACACAGAAAAGGCAAAAAACCCGUAUGAAAGGAACGCUUCCUUUUUGAAUUCAGGUCUACGUAGAGUAAGUGGAAAAUUUCAGUGUGAUUUUAACGGCCUGAAUUGAGGACAAACCUUUUGAUACGCGACCGAAGCACAGCUUUCUAGUGGAAUAGAAUACUAACAAGGAAAGCUCAGAGACUUUCAGAAUGUGAAAAAAAAGCUAAAAAUCAGUAAGCUGUACCCAAUUGCACACUAUCCGCAGCAGUGAGCCUCCUGAAGUCUGAAACAAUAGCUAUUAAGCACAAGGGAAAUGGCUGAGUGCCUUAAGUUGGAUACAAAAGCACUACAGCAGAUUUCCCAUUCUACCAAUUCUAUGUAACUCAGAUUUUCAAUUACAAAGUUAGCAACAAGAGGAGAAAAGACAACAGAAAGUCCCAAACUACCUUUCAAAUUGAUUGUUCUUUUAGGUAAAAGCAGGAAAAGACUCCAGCAGAUGGAUUUCCAAUUCCAAGUCUUCAAGUAAAGAGAAACACACAGUUAAAGACAGCUUUAUGUAGCUGUUCAAGAUGAUGAAAGCCAGGAGGACAACUUGAAAUGACUGUGGGAAUAGGAGUUUAGUUGGGUCACGCUUCAGAUGACCCAGACGAAAGAUUUAGUGUAAGAAAACAGAAAUAUUGGCAGCGUAGUGCAGGGAAGGAUUUUAAAACACCCAUUUUAUGGAUUAACGUAACAACAAAUUGGCAGAGGGUACAUGCAGUGAGUGUUUCAGACUCAUUCAGUUCCCAGUAACUGCUCAGAAGAGGAAGUGCUUUAAAUCAGAUAGCAGUCUCACACACAACAGAUUUUUAGUGCUCCAAAUACCUAAGGAGUGUUCAAAAACAUUUGGGAAAAAGUGAGAAAUGUAACAACAUUUCUGCAGCGACUGCAGAUGAUGAAGCAUCAAGUUUGACAGACAAGGACAGACAAACGCAGUAGUACUGCGAUGGCAAAAGGCAUCUGCAAAGGAAAAUGUCUUAACAGCAUUAUGCAGGCGUAAGCAAGAAUUUGUUUGGGGGGGAGGAUAAAUAUUUGAAAGCUGAACCCAAGAAAGAACAUCUUUUUUUAAAUUGGAAUGAAACCAGGCAGACAAUUUAGGUCUCAGCUUUCCGAAAAUAAUGGUGGUUGUUUUACAUGGUGGAUUAUAACAAAACAAUGAGCGAUGGAUAGAUAGAUAGAUAGAUAGAUAGAUAGAUAGAUAGAUAGAUAGAUAGAUAGAUAGAUAGAUAGAUAGAUGUAAGCCUCUCACCUAUGGACCUAUGUCAGUAACAGUCACCACAAACUGAUGCAAAUAAUAAAAUUUAUUACUAACAUUUUUUUUAGUAAUUACUAUUACUAAAUUUUUUUAAUUCCUAAAACCCUUCAAAAAAGUCGUACUAUGGGCAGAAAAAUUACUUUUGUUCAACUGGAUUUGCAGAGUAAGCAGACAUCCUUUCCAGAAACACAACAAACAUUCCUUCAUGACAGAGUGCUUGAUGACACACUGUAUCACACAAAGCCAGAAUCGCUGUGCUGACGUAGGAUUACACAUGGCAUCAGAUUAACAUACAAGCGUAGCAGCGCUAUUUCAUGCUAUCCCAGGAUAAAUCAUGAUGGGCUAACUGGCCUUACAUGUUAAAAAUAACACCCAUCAAAUACUCAGACUAGCCUGUCGCAGCUGACAUUAACUUCACACAAAGUGUUCAGGAAAAACAAACUGUUUAGAAAAAAGCAGAUGCACUUCACACUGAAAUGACCAGAAUUAGACUUUAUACGGUACUCACCUUCUAGCAAGACAUAUGGAUAACACAAACUGGCAAAAUGACACCAGAUGAAUGGAAGAAACAAGUACCUCCCUGUCUUAUCCAAGUUGCCUUGGAAAGGAAGUAUGAUCAGAAUGUAUGACGUUUGGGAUUUUUCCCCCAUCGUUAUUUAUUUAGAUGUGCAAAGAUAACAGUAAUGUUACUGGAUCUCUGUGGGGGCACAACGUCCCAAGAUGGCACUUUCUGUCAGAAGGCUGAUGCCUAAAACUGAAGGCUGGAGAAAAUAAUUUCACAUUUCUGAGAAAAACGGUAGGUGACAAUAUUUUAUUAGCAGAAACGUUUAAGCACUGCAAGGUGCUAUGAAGCAGAUUAAAAUCACGUUUCUUGAAUUUAAAGCAUCUGAAGGACCAGUCCUUCCCCCUUGGUAAGCUGGAAAGAGUCGGUAUCUUCACUAAAUGAUUGCUGGGCUAAAGAACUAUUCCUCCCUGAGCUACACCUAUUUAUAGGAACAUACAUAGCAUCCUCACUGAACAAGUUAGGAUGAAUUUAAAAUCAAAAAUAACAACAGAAGUGUACACAAAUAUCUCAAAUAUUUGCAAAUGCCGAAUGAUCAAAGAGUGAGUGAUGCCUCGGAAGCUGAAGUUUAACUGAGUCAUCCAACUUUCAGUAUAAGAAAAGAGCCUUAAAUUCUUUAAACCUCAGUAUUCAAAGCUCAUCUGCAUUCUAAGUAUUAGAUUUCUAAAAUAAGAAACCACAGCACGUGCAGUUCUAGAACUCCCACUCUGAAAUACUGCUUCUAUGUGCUGACUUUAUAAGCCUCUGACCUAGUUUAAUCAGAGCACUCCAUCAUCUGGUACAUCCAGAUCUAAGGCCGGCACAUUCUCUGACCCUACAGGCACAAUAUUCUUCAGAGCCUUUAUGUCAUCAGUGCACUUCUGUUGUUUUUCUAUUAUCAACUAACUGUAACAGGACAAAUCAAAUUUAGUUAAGCCCGGUUUCGUUAAAACACACACAUGUGGAACAGAAAAACAUUUCUGUAUUUUUUUUUAUUUCAAAUAAGGAUCAAUAACAACAUGCUCAUGAGCAAGAAGUCAUCUUAAUUAUCUCUCUUUAGGAGGAUUAGGAUUCUUCCGUCUUCUCUGAUACCUAGAAGAUAAAAAAAAAUGCUGCUGUGAAUGUAAGUUUUGGAAAAAUCUUUGACUUUCCUGACCUUCUUCCCUCCAGAAGCAGUUUGGAGGUUACACAAGUAAGCAAAAUGUAAUACACACAAACACAGCCCAUGACCAUUCAUUAGCUGCCAUCUCUGUUGUUCGUGAAGUUACACAACACUGCUCAUUGCUGCUGCACAUCUGCUGCAAGCACGCAAUAAUCCAUUCAGCUGUAGAGCCAACUGUAGAUACAAAGGCUGCUUUUUACUCUUAAUCCUUUGUGUGAGAUUAAUUUCACUGUAUAGUCAGGGCUUCCUCUGACCAAAAUGACUGCUACAGAAUAAUCAGGGGUACAAGAAGGAGUUAUGUCAGACCUUACUUUAAAUAGUGUAAUAUUCUGCAGUCAUAUCAUUCAAAAAAAUUCUUCACAGCAAAGAAAGAUAAACUGCAUCCCUACUUUCUUAAUUAGCCACCCUUAAACAAGGGAAAUACAGUACGAUACUCAUUAAGUGACAACUACCCUCUGGCCAUAGGGAGCUCUACCAUUUGUUUUCUUCACUUGUUCACAAAACAUAACAAUUAAAAAGGUUUGCAGUGUAUCAAGUUUCUAUAGCUAUGAAAUCAGCAAUUACCAUACAAUGUAAUAAUACAGACUGGAGCGGAGCUGCACAAACUAAAAUGCUACUUGUUUCCAGUGGUGUACCUCAACACACAGAGUUUCUCCUUAAGCUCAGUCAGGCAUGUUACAUCUCUUCUCCUUACAGCUUUCUGAAUACAAAGUGCACCAAGGUACACUUCUCAUCAUUUCAAAUGAAAUUUGAAAACCUUUUUUUUUUUGUUAAGUCUGAUAAUUACAUGGUUUCAAGCUGUAUUGGCUAUAUUCACUCAGAGUGUGAUUUCACUUAUGCAAUUUUAGCAAAUCACGUGGAGCAGCAGCUAAUUACACAAUAUGAGAAAUUUCUACUCCAUGGUAUUUUACCAAUCAAGUUGCAAAGGCUAUGGAAGGGGCAGAAUUUUUAAAAAACAAGAUAAUACAGUCUUCCAUUUACACGACAUUGCAUUUAGAACUCUAUGUAAUAGCCCACGUGCUAAGAGUAUUUCAUAGGAUGAGUUUGGAUAAAUUACAAUCAUGCCUGUGUUUCUCUUUAUGCCCAAAAGGAACACACACUGAAAAAAAAGAAAACUUACUGUCCCACAGGGUACCACCGAUGUUUUGUAGUGUAAAACAUUUUGCUGAGCUUUUCAAUUCUAAGUCCUCUAUCAUUCUUUAGCUCUUCUUCAUUCAAUCUGGAUUUUAAAAUUUGAUCUAGAGUUUCUUCUUUGUUAUUCACCGGAUCUGGUCGCGGCACGGGCUACAAAAACAAGAAUGUAAAUUUCCCCUUUAGGAAGAACACUCAAGCUGCACUGAUAACAUUACUGUUUACUCUUUAAAGCUGAGAACAAAAGAACUAAAAAAAGAAAGCAUCAUAAAAGGCUCCCUCCCUUCUCAAUCAAAACCACAUCACUCUGGGGAGGAAUUCCAGAAACAUCUCAUUACUGCAGGUGCUACGGCUGAUUACUGUGUCCCACUGUCAGUGCUACUGCUGAGCUCUCAUACUUACAACCCACUAGCUGAACCAUAAGCAUCAAUUUACUAACAUAAAAUACUCACAUUAUUGCUAUUUACACAUUUGUUCAUACUGACGACCACCAUUUUAUCAUACUAAGUUUUUAAGUUCUUAUUGAAAGUUUUCCUGUGAAGUUUAUGAACUCAGAGUUGAAUGGAGUUUAAAAUAACAGCACUUCUUCAUGUCCCCCAUGCUGCUGCAACUGAACACAGCAGGAUGUACGAGCUAUCGCCCAGAUUUCCAACACCUUCUCUGAGGAGCAUGCUCUUAGACAAACACUGCUUUUCUCUGUAGUGCACAACUAUUUGAGUACCUCACUUAAUUCACUUUGAGCAAUGCUGUAAGAACCUGAGCAUUUAUUUGCCUGUAGCUUUCUGUCACUUCAGCUAAAAGUCCUUCUUAGAGCAGCAGCUAUACUCAUCACUCACUUCACAGAUAUGCUGCUCGUGGAAAGAACAGUAGCUCUGUAUUUCAAACUGCAAGAAAAAACAAACAGUUGUCCUGAAGACUCAGAACUUCCUAUGCUUUUACAUGACUAAGCAAUGUGUACCGUUGGACAUACUUGUGUGUGCUCGUAUGGAAUCUCGAGUGAAGGGUGGUAGCAGACAAUUGUCUUCGAAUCUGAUGUCAAGGCAAGUUCCACUUUGCUAUGAAAAUAAAAAGUGACAUUAUUACAAUCCCUUACAAUUUCCAGAAAUGCUGACUGACUGAGCAGCCCAAUUCCCAAAGAAAACCCGAUUUCAUCCUCUAUUUAUGAAUUCUUUGUAAAUCUUCUAUCAAAUAAAACCUGAAAAAAUAAGGCUCACAA